UAGCCUUCUACGUCCUUGGGAGAUGAAACCCAAAUCCUAUUUUCCCAGGAAUUGACCCAAACACCGACUAUUGAGCCACCUCCAUCCCAAAAGUCAACACAGCGAAAGAGGCCAAACAAAGACCCUGUCCCUGCCAAGGUGGCAAGCAAGGUAAACUAAACUAAACGUGACGUGUGAAUGAUUUUGAAAUGCUUCCCCAUUAUUUUAGCUAAGUGCCACGUUUUUUACAGAAAAAAACAAAAGAAAGAAAGGAAACUUUUCCUAUUGACCCUACGGACUUUGCCACAGAGGAUGUCAUCCAGUAUGUCCAAGAAAGGCCUUCUCUGUGGGACAAAUCCCACAAGAAACACCACGACAACACCUGUACAAGGAGAAAGUGGGAAGAAAUUUAUGUCAAAUUAUUCCCUGAUUUUGCCUCCUAUUCAGAUAAAUUGCAGGAUACCAUUGGAGACCUGGUCGAGAAGAGAUGGCGUUCUGUCCGGGACAGCUACUUUAAAUGGGUCAUAGAAUCUAAUCUGCCUAGUGGAUCUGGAGCAAAAAAGACGACCUACAAACAUGCCAAGAGAUUGGCUUUUUUG